rnacentral:rRNA from 1 species
GACGAACGCUGGCGGCGUGCUUAACACAUGCAAGUCGAACGAAGAGCGAUGGAAGCUUGCUUCUAUCAAUCUUAGUGGCGAACGGGUGAGUAACGCGUAAUCAACCUGCCCUUCAGAGGGGGACAACAGUUGGAAACGACUGCUAAUACCGCAUACGAUCCAAUCUCGGCAUCGAGACUGGAUGAAAGGUGGCCUCUAUUUAUAAGCUAUCACUGAAGGAGGGGAUUGCGUCUGAUUAGCUAGUUGGAGGGGUAACGGCCCACCAAGGCGAUGAUCAGUAGCCGGUCUGAGAGGAUGAACGGCCACAUUGGGACUGAGACACGGCCCAGACUCCUACGGGAGGCAGCAGUGGGGAAUCUUCCGCAAUGGACGAAAGUCUGACGGAGCAACGCCGCGUGAGUGAUGACGGCCUUCGGGUUGUAAAGCUCUGUUAAUCGAGACGAAUGGUUCUUGUGCGAAUAGUGCGAGGAUUU